rnacentral:tRNA from 3 species
GCCUGCCUAGCUCAAUCGGAUAGAGCGUCAGACUUUUAUCCCUAGAUAAUCGUCAAAUCUGAAGGCUGCGAGUUCGACCCUCGCGGUGGGCU